rnacentral:rRNA from 1 species
AGAGUUUGAUCCUGGCUCAGGACGAACGCUGGCGGCAUGCCUCACACAUGCAAGUCGAACGGAGUUAAGUAGAAAGCUUGCUUUUUGCUUAACUUAGUGGCGGACGGGUGAGUAACACGUGGGCAACCUGCCCUACAGCUCGGGAUACCAUCGGGAAACUGAUGUUAAUACCGGAUACGCUUCAUGAAUCGCAUGGUUUAUGGAGGAAAGAUUUAUCGCUGUAGGAUGGGCCCGCGGUCCAUUAGCUAGUUGGCGGGGUAAGGGCCCACCAAGGCAACGAUGGAUAGGGGAACUGAGAGGUUUAUCCCCCACACUGGUACUGAGACACGGACCAGACUCCUACGGGAGGCAGCAGUGAGGAAUAUUGGUCAAUGGACGCAAGUCUGAACCAGCCACGUCGCGUGAAGGAAGACGGCCCUACGGGUUGUAAACUUCUUUUGCAAGGGAAUAAAGUGGGCCACGUGUGGCCUUUUGCAAGUACCUUGCGAAUAAGGAUCGGCUAACUCCGUGCCAGCAGCCGCGGUAAUACGGAGGAUCCGAGCGUUAUCCGGAUUUAUUGGGUUUAAAGGGUGCUCAGGCGGGACAUUAAGUCGGCGGUGAAAUUUUGCGGCUCAACCGNNAAAGUGCCUUCGAAACUGGUAUCCUUGAGUGUGGAUGAGGUAGGCGGAAUUUGUGGUGUAGCGGUGAAAUGCAUANNUAUCACGAGGAACUCCGNNUGCGCAGGCAGCUUNACUAAGCCAUAACUGACGCUCAAGCACGAAGGCGUGGGGAUCAAACAGGAUUAGAUACCCUGGUAGUCCACGCAGUAAACGAUGAUUACUGGCUGUUUNGCNANNUAAUGNAAANCGGCUGANCGAAAGCGUU